rnacentral:rRNA from 1 species
UCCGGGGGUAGAGCACUGUUUCGGCCAGGGGGCCAUCCCGGCUUACCAACCCGAUGCAAACUGCGAAUACCGGAGAAUGUUAUCACGGGAGACACACGGCGGGUGCUAACGUCCGUCGUGAAGAGGGAAACAACCCAGACCGCCAGCUAAGGUCCCAAAGUCAUGGUUAAGUGGGAAACGAUGUGGGAAGGCCCAGACAGCCAGGAUGUUGGCUUAGAAGCAGCCAUCAUUUAAAGAAAGCGUAAUAGCUCACUGGUCGAGUCGGCCUGCGCGGAAGAUGUAACGGGGCUAAACCAUGCACCGAAGCUGCGGCAGCGAACGUAUCACUUAAAGCGAUUCAGCGGAUGACGAUUGACGGAGCGAAGCGACGUCAAAGCGUUUUACAACGUCGAGUCGGUUUAAGGAUACGUUCGUUGGGUAGGGGAGCGUUCUGUAAGCCUGCGAAGGUGUGUCGUGAGGCAUGCUGGAGGUAUCAGAAGUGCGAAUGCUGACAUAAGUAACGAUAAUGCGGGUGAAAAACCCGCACGCCGGAAGACCAAGGGUUCCUGUCCAACGUUAAUCGGGGCAGGGUGAGUCGACCCCUAAGGCGAGGCCGA